rnacentral:misc_RNA from 1 species
AAUUUCUCAACCAUGUCUUGAUCGAUUUCGAGCACAUGGCUUGGACUUGGGGGUUGCUGGCAGCCUUGACUGUCGGCUCUCCUGAAAUGCAUUAGCAAUGGGUUGCUAGUCCUUGGAUGUGCACGGCCUUUGACGUGAUAAUGAUCGUCGUGGCUGGAGCAUCUUGG